rnacentral:rRNA from 1 species
UACGGAGGGUGCAAGCGUUAUCCGGAUUUACUGGGUUUAAAGGGUGCGUAGGUGGGUUGGUGAGUCAGUGGUGAAAUACUUUCGCUUAACGAAGGAACUGCCAUUGAUACUACCAGCCUUGAAUACAGUGGAGGUGGGCGGAAUGCGUCAUGUAGCGGUGAAAUGCUUAGAUAUGACGCAGAACACCAAUUGCGAAGGCAGCUUGCCACGCUGUUAUUGACACUGAGGCACGAAAGCGUGGGGAUCAAACAGG